GUGCAUCACGAAACUUUUUUGGCGAUUUAUUCAUCAUUUUUGUUUCCCUUUUUGUUCUACUCCAGGACACCGUCACCUUUCUACAAUAAGAUUAACCAGAUUCUUACAACCAAGAAGCAAUAAAUUUGGCUGGAACUAUUUUUUCUUUGCAUCUGAGUGCAUACGAUCUCCUCUUCACACUCCAGAAUAAAUGUAGAGGGGAGAGGCAUGUCAUCUCGAUAGGUAAGAGCAUGGGAGUUUAAAAGAGACAAAAAUAUAGGAGAUCUAGCCAAGGAGAGGUGAGAAAAGAAGAAGAAAAGUUCCAGCAGGAGGUUUCCUAUUGACCAUACUAUCCCUUCGUGGAAAUGUGGAGUCUACACUACUAUAAACUCUCUUAUGGCAGCGCAGAACUUGGACAGGAUGAUUGCAGAUAAUAUCGCUGCAGAGGCUAAGGCAACUUAAAAAAAGGAGAACUAUAAUGAUAAUAUCAUGGGGACCAUUGUAAAGUUCCAGGCGGCUGUAUCAGGCACUGAUGCCACGACAUAUGGAGCAUGUAUCUAGUUAGGAUUCCCUAAUAACCUAUGUCUUUUUUCUUUCUUUCUCUACAAGAUAUUUUUUAUAAUUGCAUUUAAGGAUGAACAAAUUUCUUUAAUGUGGGGUGAGGCUCACCUCUGUUUGCUGACUAUAAAUGUUUGUGUUAAUUUUGAUUCUAUCUUAUAUAUAUAGUUGGCUUAUUGUUUUAAAUUA